UACGUAGGUAGCAAGCGUUGUCCGGAUUUAUUGGGUUUAAAGGGUGCGUAGGCGGUUCUGUAAGUCAGUGGUGAAAUACUCCAGCUUAACUGGGGAGGGUGCCAAUGAUACUGCAGAACUUGAGUACAGAUGAGGUAGGCGGAAUUGACGGUGUAGCGGUGAAAUGCAUAGAUAUCGUCAAGAACACCUAUAGCGAAGGCAGCUUACUGGGCUGUAACUGACGCUGAGGCACGAAGGUGUGGGGAUCAAACAGG
rnacentral:rRNA from 1 species